CCCCUCUCAGGGUCACACCUGAGGUGUUUCCAGUACUCUACCAGUCUCGACUACGGGAGGGAGAGUCAAGCAGAGACCUAUUCAUUCCAUUCCUGGCUUGGGCAGUGGCUAGCGAGUGGAAGGCAAUCUGCUACAAGU